rnacentral:rRNA from 1 species
CCUACGGGGUGCACCAGUGGGGAAUAUUGGACAAUGGGCGAAAGCCUGAUCCAGCAAUGCCGCGUGUGUGAAGAAGGUCUUCGGAUUGUAAAGCACUUUCGACGGGGACGAUGAUGACGGUACCCGUAGAAGAAGCCCCGGCUAACUUCGUGCCAGCAGCCGCGGUAAUACGGGGGGGGCAAGUGUUCUUCGGAAUGACUGGGCGUAAAGGGCAUGUAGGCGGUGAAUCGGGUUGAAAGUGAAAGUCGCCAAAAACUGGCGGAAGACUCUCGAAGCCAAUUCACUUGAGUGAGACAGAGGAGAGUGGAAUUUCGUGUGUAGGGGUGAAAUCCGGAGAUCUACGAAGGAACGCCAAAAGCGAAGGCAGCUCUCUGGGUCUCUACCGACGCUGGAGUGCGAAAGCAUGGGGUGCGAACGGGAUUAGAUACCCGAGUAGUC